GUCGGAGUGGUGAAAUGGCAAACACGCCGGCUUCAGGAGCCGGUGCCGCAAGGCUUGAGGGUUCGAGUCCCUCCUCCGACA
rnacentral:tRNA from 1 species